GUUGCAGAAAGAUCCUUACAUGUCCAGGAGGUGAUCUCAUCUUUCAGUUUAGUGGAACCAUUGUUGUGUGCCUUUUGUUAGAAUCAUCCCAUCUUGAUAAUUAAUGUCUCCAAAGAAACAGCUCAAAGUUACCAGUACACAGUGAAAGUUGCAGCAACUUGUUCUCUUUGGAGGGGAUUUCUUGACAUGCUCUAGACUGUUGAUACAAGAAACUACCCUACAGAGACAGGUUCAUGAAAUCUUAUGGAGGCCUGAUUUUUCAUACUAAUAAGGAACCAAGCAAAUACUAUGAAUGCUGAUGGAAUUAGAGAUAACAGGAA